UACGGGGGGGGCAAGCGUUGUUCGGAAUUACUGGGCGUAAAGGGCUCGUAGGCGGCCAACUAAGUCAGACGUGAAAUCCCUCGGCUUAACCGGGGAACUGCGUCUGAUACUGGAUGGCUUGAGUUUGGGAGAGGGAUGCGGAAUUCCGGGUGUAGCGGUGGAAUGCGUAGAGAUCCGGAGGAACACCCGCGGUGUAGACGGCUUACUGGACCAUAACUGACGCUGAGGCACGAAAGCGUGGGUAGCAAACAGG
rnacentral:rRNA from 1 species